rnacentral:rRNA from 1 species
UACGUAGGGUGCAAGCGUUAAUCGGAAUUACUGGGCGUAAAGCGUGCGCAGGCGGUUCGCUAAGUCAGGUGUGAAAUCCCCGGGCUUAACCUGGGAACUGCAUUUGUGACUGGCGGGCUAGAGUAUGGCAGAGGGGGGUAGAAUUCCACGUGUAGCAGUGAAAUGCGUAGAGAUGUGGAGGAAUACCGAUGGCGAAGGCAGCCUCCUGGGCCAACACUGACGCUCAUGCACGAAAGCGUGGGGAGCAAACAGG